CCUCCUUUCUCUGUAAGUUCUUGGAAUCUACCUCCUGUGUUCCCUGUGAGGAUUUUUCUCCUUCUAGUGCUCCCCAUGGUUUCCUUGUGUUUUCAGUUGAGUGUUUUCAGAUUCUGUUUUAAUGGACAGUUUGGAUUCGCCUGCAGUGUGAGCCAAUCGCUGUUGGUGCUGCUGCUGCUGUUACUUCACAUCCCGGCCUUCCCACAGCCCCCCUUUCUCCCCCUCCACCAGCGCUGGGCAGCCACAAAAGCGUUGGCCCGAUUCCAGGGAGGCUCCGAUCCUGCAGCCACGUCAAUCACGUCUUCACCGCUGGCUGCAGGGCGGCCCUCGUGGCCGGGAUGCCACUGUGUGCCAUGCCAGUCCACAGUGGACGGUGAGGGUCAGGAGGAGGGGACCGAGUGCAGGAGACUGAGAGGAGGCGGCCCGCACCAGACAGGAGAAAUGAACCUCUGCUGGAACGAGAUCAAAAGAAAGUCGCACAACAUCCGGGUGCGGCUAGAGGCCUUCUCGGACAACAGCGGGAAGCUGCAGCUUUCUCUGCAGGAGAUCAUAGAAUGGCUGACGGCCAAGGACGAGGAGUUGUCAGAGCAGCUGCCCAUAGGAGGCGACGUGGGGGCUGUGCAGCACCAGAGAGAGUUCCAUCAGGCGUUCAUGGAGGAUGUGAAGUCUCGGGGGCCGUUCAUCUACUCAGUCUUGGAGUCAGCCCAGGCUUUUCUGGCUCAGCACCCCUUCCAGGAACCAGAGGAGACCCUGACCGAUGGAAAAGAGGUGUCACCACGUCGGCGCAUCUUAAAUGUGAGCCGCUCAGUGUGGAAGCAGGCGAAUGUGGCCAGCGACCUGUGGGAAAAGCUGACGGCGCGAUGCGUGGACCGCCAUAGACACAUGGAGCGGACAUUAGAGCGUCUGCUUCAGAUCCAGGCAGCAAUGGAGGAGCUGGCUGUGGCCCUGGAACAGGCAGAGGGGGUGAGAGACGCCUGGGAGCCUGUGGGAGACCUCUUCAUCGACUCUCUGCAGGAUCACAUAGAUGCCACAAAGUUAUUCAAGGAGGAGCUGACCCAGGUGAAGGAGGGCAUGAAGCACGUCAAUGAUCUGGCCCACCAGCUGGCCAUCUCCGAUGUCCAUUUGUCGAUGGAGAACGCCCGCGCCCUGGAGCAUCUCAACAGCAGAUGGAAAGUGCUUCAGGGUUCCAUAGAGGAGCGGCUAAAGCAGCUUCAGGAUGCACAUAGAGACUUUGGCCCUGGAUCGCAGCACUUCCUUUCCAGUUCAGUGCAGAUACCGUGGGAGCGUGCCAUCUCCCCAAACAAAGUGCCCUACUACAUCAACCAUCAAGCCCAGACGACGUGCUGGGACCAUCCAAAGAUGACAGAACUGUACCAAGCACUCGCGGAUCUGAACAACAUCAAGUUCUCAGCAUACAGAACAGCUAUGAAGCUGCGGCGAGUUCAGAAGGCUCUGAGAUUGGAUUUGGUGGCAUUGAGCGGUCUCGUGGAGGUGUUUCGGGAGCAGGACCUGCAGCAGGGCGAGCAUGUGAUGGAUGUGGUGGAGAUGAUCCACGGCCUGACGGCUCUGUACGAGAAACUGGAGGAGGAGCAAUCCAUCCUGGUCAACAUUCCACUUUGCGUUGACAUGUGCCUCAACUGGCUGCUAAAUGUCUACGACAGUGCUCGGAAUGGCAAAAUGCGAGUCCUCAGCUUUAAGAUGGGAUUGGUGAGCUUGUGCAAUGCGGACGUCCAGGAGAAGUACAAAUACUUAUUCCGUCAGGUGUCCGGUCCUGGAGGUUUGACAGACCAACGCCACCUGAGCUUGCUGCUUCAUGAAGCCAUUCAGAUCCCCCGCCAGCUGGGUGAAGUCGCUGCUUUUGGUGGCAGCAAUGUGGAGCCCAGCGUCCGUAGCUGCUUCAGAAUGGCCCCGGGGAAACCUGCCAUCGAGGUGUCUCACUUCCUGGAGUGGAUGAGCCUGGAGCCCCAGUCGAUGGUUUGGCUGCCUGUCCUCCACCGCGUGGCUGCUGCAGAGUCCACCAAGCACCAGGCCAAAUGUUACAUCUGCAAACAGUGUCCCAUUAAGGGUUUCAGGUAUCGCAGUCUGAAGCAGUUCAAUGUGGACAUCUGCCAGACAUGUUUUCUAACCGGCCGCACUACCAAGGGAAAGAAGCUGCACUACCCCAUCAUGGAGUACUACACGCCAACAACCUCGGGAGAGAAGAUGAGGGACUUUGCCAAGACUCUGAAGAAUAAGUUCAGAUCAAAGCAGUACUUCACCAAGCACCCUCAGAGAGGUUACCUGCCAGUGCAAUCUGUGCUGGAAGCCGAGAGCUUAGAGACGCCGUGCUCGUCACCCAAGCUGCCUCACGCAGACACACACAGCAGGAUCGAACAUUAUGCCAGCAGAUUGGCAGAAAUGGAGAGCCAGAAUUGUUCAUUCUUCACGGAUAGCCUGUCUCCUGAUGAAAGUCUCUGUCCUUGGCUUUGCUUGGUGCUGCUGUUGGCUGUGUGCUGGUGGCUCAGUGUGCUGUCUCCUGUGUGGGGGACUCAGGGAUGAAGAUCAGUACCUCCUGCGUCACUCCAGCCCAGCCCUGGACAAUGACUCACCCUGUGGACAGCACAUGCUUCUGGCCCACUUGGAGCACCAGGACAAGGAGCAGCUACAACGCACCCUUGCCCGCCUGGAGAACGAGAACAGGGUGCUGCAGGGCGAGUACCGGAGGCUAAAGUGGAAGCACGAGGAGGCAGCGUCGGUUCCCAUGCUGACUGAGGCUGGGGAGGGAGGUCCAGGUUCACCCACAGCAGAGGGCCAGCAGGAUGAGGAGCUCCUAGCAGAAGCUCGGGUCCUCCGGCAACACAAGACAAGACUGGAGACGCGAAUGCAGAUCCUGGAGGACCACAACAAGCAGCUGGAGUCACAGCUGCGCAGGCUCAGGGAGCUACUGCUACAGCCCAAAGAUGAUUCGGAGGCAAAUGGAUCAGAACCAUCAACCCUGUCGUCUCCUGUGUCUGGAGUGGGUCACCAUGGGGAGCCAGCCAGCAGGGAGACCACAGACACUGAAGCAGCAGGAGAUGACAUGGAGCAUGAACAGGACACGGUGCUGCAGCUCCAGGAGGUCAUCGAGCAGCUGAGAAACGUCUUCCCCUCAGAACCGGGCACCACCUCACACAUCUAACCCUGACUUGGCCUGAAGGAGGAUGGUUAAAGCCUGUAAGGAUGCCUGAUGGCCGAGGGAAGAGCUCCAUACGGCUUUGGCCGGGCAGCAGUCCACCAGGCCCUGUGACCACUGCAGCAGCAAUGAUACCCAGAGCUAACCUCCCACUGGAACUCUGUGCACUAAAAGCCUUUUUCAUGCAAACCGCUGAAGGUUCACGCUGAUGUUCGUUUGGCCAGGUUGUGCUUUAUAACUUCAGCCUGACACUACGUUACCAGACCAAAGGAAACUAAAGUUAGCAGCAGGUCAGGGAGGCACUGAAGUAAGAGGAAGAUGCUCAGCCAAGACACUGUGCUUACCAGUAUCUGUGUAGUCGUUUGAGGGUGUGAAGCUUUAUAUCAGUCCACAGCACAAAUUGGACCAUCGAUGUAAAGAAGAUGAAAAAAUGCAAAAGGGAAGAAGAAGAUUCCCUUGUUUUGUCAGAAUGCCUAUGUCUUCAGUAUUUGUGUUUUUUUUCCUCCUUGAAUGUCUCAUCAUGGUUAUUUUUGUUAUUGAAGGAAGGUAAAGCUCAGUAGCGUAAACCAGAUCAGGGCUGGGUGACUGCAUUUCUUGUGGCUGUGUGGUAUGGAUUGUCAGGGAGUUGACAGCAACCACGACAUGCUUAUUUACUUUGUGAGAAUGACAAAUCAUGAGUUAAAUCCAUGAUUUAUUUAAGACAGCCAAAGUGCCCGCUAGCACAGCGCCUCUGUAUGCACACACUGUUUUCAUUUAAUCCUCCCUAACUGCUUGUCGCUGUCAUUGCUCGCCUCUCCUAAGUGAGCCCCUUACGCUCAUGCAAAACCACAUGCACUCACUGUAUGUGAACGCACACGUAUGCUGCUACAUCCCUUCUUUCAUUGUGCACAAAUACACAAAUGACUCCCUGCAUGAUGGAUAACACAUGCUGAUCUGCAUCCCUAAAAAAUACAGACCUCCUUAAAAAUUGAGCUCCCGCAUUCAUCGUUUUGUCUCCCAGGAUUCAGACAAGCUUUUCAGUUUUGAGGCAGUUUGUAAUGUGACAGAUAUUGGGGGUUUUGUUGAGGAAAUUUCUACUGAUAAAUGUCAAACCUCCUCUUUGGAAUCUUUGUGUUCUCCUGCUGUGUGCAAAGAAAGGGAGGGAAAGAGCUGCAGGCGAUAGUAGCGCCAGACUGAAGCUCUUUCUCUCUCUCUGUCUGCAAGGCCAAUUCCAGACACAUCAGGGAGGGGCCGAGGGCCACUAUGACGUGGUCCUGCACUGACUUCUUUCAUAAUCCCCUCUCUCCAUGUAGAAGAAAAGUUUCUAAUGACUCCACAUGCCUCAUUUGCAAACUGAAUUUCUUUUAGAUUUACAAAAAGGUGACUUUGAAAUAACUUCACCCUCACAGAACAAGCAUUGGGUGCAAUCUGUUUUAAACAGUGCAGACAAUUAAUGCCUUAAAUUCAUACAAAGUUAGUUUGUUUCCCUUAUUGAUUUCCCCUUGUGUUUCGCAUUCAAGGAAGGAGGUUGCAUCGGUCAUGCGUUUACAAUUCUGCGUCUGUCAGACUUCAGACAGGCCGGUAGUUAAUUUGAAAACAACGGAAAACAAUACAGAAAUGUGGAUUACCCUUCAUUGAAAAACCAACUAAACAGGGCUUUUAGAGGCGCAUCCAUGAUGCUGGGCUGACGCUUGGAGGGACUAAAGAUUUGAGAGAUAAGAGAGGAAAGGUAGAGGGGAGAAAAAACAAUCCAUUUAUCGCUCGAGGGCUGGUGGGAGAGAUCCACUUUGAUGUGCCUGCCAUGGCAAAAAAAUCUCCAGAAGCAAGACAAGAGAUUGCCUGAAACUAGUAAGCUGUGGCUCUGUGUGUUUCUCUGCAAUCAUACUGCCUCAUCCUCACAGAAGAGACAGAGAUAUACACAGAGAGGAACUCAGCUUUAUCCUUAAGAAAUGACACUAUGACCUCACAGACAUGAGUUCGAUGCCCAUGUUGCUGCACUCAUUACGGGCUACUCCUAUCGGCACACGGCGCUCACGUCCUGCCACCACACUCCCUCCUCAGCACUCACUGCCUGCCUCCUUAGUUGUGAUUCAGUUGCUAGGGAACUGUCCCCAAGGACGCAGUAGCAAAGGUUUGAGAGAAGGUAAGGCAAUAUGCCGUUCAUAACACCAAUGCUAACAGCCUUAAGGGAAGCGAGAGACGGCUUACAUCCCUCUUCUUCACUCGUGCUUCUGAAGAUAUUCAUUACCGUGUGCUGAAUCCAUCUCUGCUUUCAUUGAAGCUCUGACAAGUCACAACAAAGAGCAGCAGAAUAAACAUGACGAGUAAUGUUUGUUUGUAGAUGUUUAUUUAUUCGUAGUUACACAUCUCAUUACACAUUGAUGAUCACACUGCAGCCUUGCACUUUGUUCUUUGGUAUGUGGGCACACAAAAUGAUGUAACGGUGACGUGUGGCGAAACAGCAGAGGGAUUCCCCACAGAGCUGCACGUCAAUUCUUGUUUAUUUUCAGACAAUAAAGAGGAGGUAGACUCUAAUAAAUACACUUGUUGGUCAUACAUCAGAUGAUGCAUUGAUUGCCCACAUUCUUAUCUGACUCUGAUAGUCCUCCAGCUGUAGAAGAGUCGCACAGCAUCUCAACCCUGCGCCUCAGUAAUCAUCUGAUCCAUGCAUACGUCCCUAUACUGGUAGUAGCAGCUCCCUAUAUUCCUCACACACUAACACAUGCCCUGCUCUCUGUAUAUCUCUCUCUGGUGCAACUGAAGCCGUAUGACUUCAGAUAAAAUGCUCCCCACAGAGGCGAGAGUCACCCAGAGGACACUGCUCUCUCACUCCAGACUUCAGUUGCCGCAUGUAGCCGGCCAACACGCUAAUGGCUCCCAUCAUUACUCUCUUGUCUUUGUGUCACGCCCUCCAUGUUUGCUAUCAUGAAUCUAAGCUUGUAAGAAGGACACCAUUUGUGCUUCACAUGGUGGGGGCAGUGAAUCACUUAACCUCAAUGAACAUGGUGUUUAUAACACUAACACAUAUAUACACUCACUCAUGACUUACUGGUGGACUGAGGUUUAUUUUAAUUUAUUUAUACCACCAUUAAUAUACCUCAUUAAUCUUUCAAAUGUUUCAUGUUUAACAGUUUUGGUUUGAUGUUUUUGUCCAGCACUCAAACACUUCUUGCUGUCUUUUCUCUGGCGUUUUUAAUCUGUAAAAAUACAAAAAAGUUUUCUGAAGAAAGGCUUUUUACUGUAAUAACAAGUGGGUUACUGGCUGCUUUCUACUCUUUGUGUACAGAAAUAAAAAAACUUUGUAUUUGCCAAA